AGCGAACGCUGGCGGCAGGCUUAACACAUGCAAGUCGAACGCAUCCUUCGGGGUGAGUUGCAGACUGGUGAGUAACACGUGGGAACGUACCCUUCGAUCUGGGAUAACUUCGGGAAACUGGAGCUAAUACCGGAUACGCCCUUUUGGGGAAAGGUUUACUAUCAAAGGAUCGGCCCGCUUCUGAUUAGCUAGUUGGUGGGUUAACGGACUACCAAGGCUACGAUGAGUAGCUGGUCUGAGAGGAUGAUCAGCCACACUGGGACUGGGACACGGCCCAGACUCUUACGGGAGGAAGAAAGUGGGAAUAAGGGACAAGGGGCGAAAGACGGAGGCAGCCAGGUCGCAUGAGUGAGGAAGGACAUAGGGUUGUAAAGCUCUGUUGACAGGGAAGAUAAUGACGGUACCGGAAGAAUAAGCCACGGCUAACUUCGUG
rnacentral:rRNA from 1 species